rnacentral:rRNA from 1 species
GACGAACGCUGGCGGCGUGCUUAACACAUGCAAGUCGAACGAAGUGGCGAACGGGUGAGUAACGCGUAAUCAACCUGCCCUUCAGAGGGGGACAACAGUCGGAAACGACUGCUAAUACCGCAUACUGAAGGUGGGGAUUGCGUCUGAUUAGCUAGUUGGAGGGGUAAAGGCCCACCAAGGCGAUGAUCGGUAGGCGGUCUGGGAGGAUGGACGGCCACAAUGGGGCUGGGGCACGGCCCAGAAUCCUACGGGAGGCAGCCAGGGGGGAACUUCCGCCAUGGACGAAAGGCUGACGGGGCAACGCCGCGUGAGUGAUGACGGCCUUCGGGUUGUAAAGCUCUGUUAAUCGGGGCGCGGUACCGGAAUAGAAAGCCACGGCUAACUACGUGCCAGCAGCCGCGGUAAUAC